rnacentral:rRNA from 1 species
UGGGGAAUUUUGGACAAUGGGCGAAAGCCUGAUCCAGCAAUGCCGCGUGUGUGAAGAAGGCCUUCGGGUUGUAAAGCACUUUUGUCCGGAAAGAAAUCCUUGGCUCUAAUACAGUCGGGGGAUGACGGUACCGGAAGAAUAAGCACCGGCUAACUACGUGCCAGCAGCCGCGGUAAUACGUAGGGUGCAAGCGUUAAUCGGAAUUACUGGGCGUAAAGCGUGCGCAGGCGGUUUGCUAAGACCGAUGUGAAAUCCCCGGGCUCAACCUGGGAACUGCAUUGGUGACUGGCAGGCUAGAGUAUGGCAGAGGGGGGUAGAAUUCCACGUGUAGCAGUGAAAUGCGUAGAGAUGUGGAGGAAUACCGAUGGCGAAGGCAGCCCCCUGGGCCAAUACUGACGCUCAUGCACGAAAGCGUGGGGAGCAAACAGGAUUAGAUACCCUGGUAGUCCACGCCCUAAACGAUGUCAACUAGUUGUGGGGAUUCAUUCCUUAGUAACGUAGCUAACGCGUGAAGUUGACCGCCUGGGGAGUACGGUCGCAAGAUUAAAACUCAAAGGAA